AUACGUAGGGGGCGAGCGUUGUCCGGAAUGACUGGGCGUAAAGGGCGUGUAGGCGGCGGUGUAAGUCUGGAGUGAAAGUCCCGCAUUCAAUGUGGGAAUUGCUUUGGAUACUGCAGUGCUAGAGUGCGGAAGAGGUAAGUGGAAUUCCCAGUGUAGCGGUGAAAUGCGUAGAGAUUGGGAGGAACACCAGUGGCGAAGGCGACUUACUGGGCCGUAACUGACGCUGAGGCGCGAAAGCGUGGGGAGCGAACAGGAUUAGAUACCCUGGUAGUCCACACUGUAAACGAUGAAUGCUAGGUGUAAGAGGUAUCGACCCCUUUUGUGCCGGAGUUAACACAAUAAGCAUUCCGCCUGGGGAGUACGGCCGCAAGGUUGAAACUCAAAUGAAUUGGCGGGU
rnacentral:rRNA from 1 species